AUUUUGAGUUAAGUAAACCACUCGAUCCAUAUUAAAAUUCUCUAUCAAAAUCAAAUAUCGUUGUAACUUUAGUUACAAAAAUGUCCGCGUGAGGGCGUUGUGGCGGUUUAUUACUAAGCAAGUUUUCGCAUGACACGUCCUUGAAUAGUGUUACGUGUCACAUUGAAACGAGCGGUAGUGUUUGUCGUCCGCGUAAAAACCGUUGUAACUUGAAAUAAGACACUAAUACAGAAAAGGCUUGAAUAAUGAGGAGAGUCGACAGAAUAUUGGAUUUGGCAAAAGCAUUAAAGGACGAAGAAUCCGAUAAUAUACGAGAGAAAGAGAAUAUUGAGCCUACCGUUUCGCCUUCAAUAAUACAUUCUACUCAUGGCGCUAAUCCUAUACAAGACAAUAUUUCUAAAGAAAAAUCGUCAUCAGAUUCUUCAAA